CGUUUUUCUCCCGGUGUGUGGGAGGGGAGAAAGACGAAGGUCUGCGACUGGACAAGACCUUGGUCGCUGCUCGAGGUUGCUUUGAGGAGCGUCAGUUUACACUUGACGCGUUCUUUCUCGAGCUGCUGCAGAAACGGCUGCAGGAAGAAGAAGAAAUCCGUGUUGCUCCGGGGCGUCAGUUUACGCUUGACGCGUUUCUUGAGGAGCUACUGCAGAGACGUCUGCAGUGAGAAGAGGAAAGCCGCACUGCUACGGUCACUCCAGUGGCCUCCCUGCCAACCCACGGAGGCUCAACACUCCGCACCAUGCAACUCUUCAUAACCACGAAGAGUUAUGCUGCCUGUUGGGGGCGCCGCCGUCAACUCGGCGCCUGGAGAAGAGUCACUCCAGUGGUCUCACAGCCAACCCACGGAGGCUCAACUCUCCACACCAUGCAGCUCUUCAUAGCCACCAAGAGUUAUGCUGCCUGCUGGCGGCGCCGCCGUCAGCUCGGCGUGUGGAGAAGGCCGUCUGGGUGCUAAACUAUUCGACCACGAUA